UACGAAUGGGGCAAGCGUUGUUCGGAAUGACUGGGCUUAAAGAGUACGUAGGCGGUUUAUAAAGUCAGAAGUGAAAGCCCGGAGCUCAACUCCGGAAGUGCUUUUGAAACUCAUAGACUAGAAUAUUGGAGAGGUUGGGAGAAUUCCUAGUGUAGAGGUGGAAUUCGUAGAUAUUAGGAGGAAUACCAGAGGCGUAGGCGCCCAACUGGAAAAUUAUUGACGCUGAGGUACGAAGGCGUGGGGAGCAAACAGG
rnacentral:rRNA from 1 species